CACCAAACUGAUUUUGAAUUCGAUUUUGAUUGGCUCCAUGUCCCCCAGUUUGUUGUGUGAAUUUAUAUUUAAAUUGAACUGUUGCAGGGCUCGUGCCAUUCCAGCAGUUGGCUGAAGCAUUUGGGGAAUGCAGGGUAGUGGGAAAAUAAAUGAAAAGCAAUUUCAGGGUGGGGGCUCAUGCACUGACAUUCCUGGGAAUUAACCUCGGGUGUGAGCUUGGAGCAGUUUGGGCUCUCAAUGGAGCAACACAUUUUAAUUGGCUUUACUCCUGUUUUGCAUGGCCGUGAAAUAGCAGCCCAGGGCAAUAAUGUGGAUUUUAGUGGUUUGCUGGCUGUUACCCACUUGUGAGAUUGUAAAAGUUAACAGAACAAAGUGCAGCUUUAAUAGGAAGGCGCCUUAAACUCUAAUGCACUUGGCUGUUUAUGUGCUGGGCUGGUUAAUGUGGAUUUCUCCUAUGGAUCUGCUGCUGGCAAUGGCAAGGAAAUGCUGGAAGUGUUUCACCACCAAACCCAGCUGAUUUUCUAGCCCAGAAGCCACCAUCUGAAGGGUUUCCUAUUAUUUAUUAUUUAUUAUUCCUAUAAUAUUUCCUAUUAUUAUUUACCUGGAGUGUCUUGGGUUUCAUCUGGAAGCUCAGCUCAGGUGUGUUGUGCUUUUGAAGGCGAUUGUGUGUAAAUGUUUUUAGCAGCAUUCAAGGUCAUGGAGAGGAUCUCAUCAGAUGGACACGUGACUCCAUGUCGUGACUUUCACUUUUUAUUUAGGAGCUUGGAAGGGAAAUAACAUUUAAAAAAAAGUUAGCAACCUUUUCUUUAAUGUGCUGAUGGAAAUGGAGCUGUCUCAGAGCUCAUGGCCGUUAGUGGACUCUGCUGUGGGAGGGUUUGAAUUUUUAUGGAGUCUGUGAAUCCAUGUGACAGGAAAAAACUAAUUUUGCUCUGUUUAUUACUUGUCCUUUGUGUGGAGAAUCCUGUGUCCAAACCCUCACCAUACACAAGCAAAGGAAACACAUCCUUGUUUUUGCAGGCUCUAAAGCACCAGCUCUUCACAGGUUACAGCAGCUUUUUAUCCCCUUUUUUCAUUUUUUUGGUGCAGAAUUAAUUGUUUCUGUAGGGUAACUAAGUCUUCCUGGUGCAAGCAGCAUUUGCUUUGUUGUAUUUUAACAGAUUGGGGUUUUUGAUGAAAGCUGCCAGAUCAUGAUUUCCUGAGUGUUUUGUUGUAUUAAGACCAAACCUGAGGAGUAAUUUGGAUUGAGACUGACGAGGAAGAAAUUGGAGCUGCAGAUCCCUGUUCAUAGGCUCAGAGUGCAGGAAAUAAUUGCUGUAUUCUCAUACUGUUCUGUGUCCUUUCAUCUCUGGGAACAAUAACAAUUACCAGUAAUUUGCUGAUAUUGGAUGUAUUUGCAUGGGUGCCAUUUAAUUUUGUGUGUGGAAUUUUGGGAGGUUGUGCUGAGCAGAGUCAUUAUUACCAAUACAAUUUCACAGGGCUCUGGUCUGGUUUAUUCAGCCUGUUGGACACUUAUUAUUUGUAAUUACUUCAGCUCACUGAUAGAUGCUUUUAAAGCUAAAAAAAGGAUGGAUGAGGGAGAGGAUUUGGGGUUUUUUUAAUACCCAAGUGUUGGGAGUUUGUUGUAGUCCUGGCAGAUGUUUUCCUUGUCCAUCUGUCCUGUUGGCAAAUACCAGGAAAGGCAAAGGAUGGAAGGCUGAGCUCCUUUGGAGUGGUGAUAAAAACACGAUGUGAAAACCCCUCCUGCAGCAGAGGAAGAGCUGCUGGUGCUGUAAACAUCCUCUGCUAAUGAGCUGCUCUGCUUUGGAGGGGAUCAAACACAGCUAAUGCUUUUCAUGGAGAUGCCUAAUCAGGCACAAUAGAACCAAGCAAAGCUGUCAAUUAAAACUUCUAUUAAAUUUCUCUUUAUAAACGAGCCCGAACCCAGGGCGCUGUCUGAGCUCCCCUCCUUGGCUCUUGGGGUUUGGUGAAGAUUUUGUCAUCAGUAUUUGCCUGCUUUUGGAGCUCACUCAGGUACCCUCCAUCUGCAUUGGGCUUUUCUCUAAUUAUUCAAAGGGCAAAAUGUCUGCUGAAGUGCUGUUCCUUCAAAUAGCAGCAGCUCAGAAGUCUUGCAUUUAUCUGAUGCCAAUUAAGUAAGAAUAAUUGAGAUUAUUUUGUUAAAAGCACAUCUGCCAAAGAGCCCUGAAGAUGAAGCAAGCCAUUAAGGCACAGUAUUAAACCCACAGUAUAUUGGUUAAAAAAGGAUUGGUUCACUGGCAGAAAUCACAAGGAUGUUUACUAAAGGUAAACUAGAGGUUGUUUUUACUAAAUUCUGCCAAAGUACUUUUUAAAAAAGUCUUCCCAAAACCAAGGUUUUCUUCAAUAACCUAUAAUUGGUUAAAAUAUUGUUGUAAGUAGUGUGAAGUGUGAAAAUAUUAUAAUUCUUUGUGCUUUUCCUGCUCAGCCAGUUGGGUGUUAAACCAGCUGUUCCAUUUCUGUCCCUUCGCUUGGAGAAGCCACUUAACCUCCUUUACCAGUUCUGUUGCUCACAGGGAUAUUUAAUUCAUUAAUAUCUAUUUAAUGCAUUCUUAAUUACCUGCUUACACAGGGAGGAAAAUCUUCAAAGCUGCAGCACUGAGUGCCUGAAUCCCCCCCAUCUCUGGUGAUGUGUGGGACACAGGGGUGAGGUGGUUCAUAUAAAUGCAUAAAUGCAUAAAUAAAUGCACAUUUCUGGGGAGCUGCUUUCACCUGAGCCUGGAACAGGAGCGAGGGAGUCACCCAGCAAGUCUGGCUGAACACAGAAAACACUGCCAGGCUUGUUGUGAAAUUAAUAAAUUAGUAAUUGCUUGGCUUAACAUGUGGGAAUCAAACCCAGGGCUGCUUGCAGUUGUUUGGUGUGUGGGCAGGGAGUAAGGAGUGCUUGUUUGGCUUAAAUAUAAUUAAUGGCAAUAACGAUUUAAUUUUUCCCCAGUGGCUGUGGGAAACAGAGCUGUGCUUGGUGAUCAAAGCUCCUGGGGCAAACAGCUGGACACCAGUUAUUGGUGGGAAUAUCAGCAUCUAUUAUUAUUAAUAUCAAUAUUAAUAUUAAAUGUAUUAUAUAAUACAGCAAAUAAUGGUAUCUGUUGUGGCUCUGUGACACCCAGGGAUGCUCUGGGUGUCUCUGCUUUGUGCCAGCUCCAGCAGGAAGCUUCUCCUGCAGCUUUGGGUUUGGUUCCAGGUCAGGACCUGCAAACCCACAGACACUCAGAACCUGGAACAUUUCCUCUCUAAGUGGUGUAAAUUCACUGAUUAUUCCCAGGAAAGAUUUUCAGGUAAUCUCAAAGGAGCGAAAAGUCACUGAGCAAGAAGGGCAUAACUCUCCCAACUGGAUAAUUAAAAAGAAAAUUAAAAAGUGUGCUAAGUUGAGAUUGACUUGUGGCCAUGCUUUGAAGAUUAAAAGGGCUUUUUUUCAUUUGGGAUGCAGGAGGUAGGGAUUGGUGGGAGGAGGAAUUGUGGCUGCCAGAGCAGUUGGGCUGCGAAUUACUGAGCUGUGAACAAAGUUCCAGAAUCACUGACCAAAACUUUGGGUUUUCUCUGCUCUUUUACCCCCCUGAUUUUUAAAACAAUUAGUCUUGCAGCUGGAUUUUCAGCGUGGCUGCUCACUGUGUAAUGCAGGGCGAUUUUUAGGCAUCCAAGCAAAAGACAUAUUGAAUGAAAAACUAAACAAAUGGUUUUGUGUAGGUCUUUAGAAAAGUAAAAUAACAGCAGCUUCAGUUAAAGGGUGGGACAUCCCAUAUUCUUUGCACAUCCUGCUGGGUUUUUCUGUACAGGGAAUUUAGCCUAACCUUUGGAAACCUAUUAGUCACAAAAAUAGGGAGAGAAAGCUGAAAUAGGAGUGUGAAAUACAGCUGGUAACUGGUGUGUGGAAUUUGGGUUGGGAGGAACCUCCAAAGCCAUCCUGUGGCACAUCUCCCACGUUCCCAGGCUGCUGCAAGCCCUGGCCUGGGCAGGCAGGGGCAGGGAUUCCGGGAAUACAGAAAUAAAGGUAAUGAUGUGUUCAGGCUAAUCUGGGAAUUUGCAAGGUAAUGACGUGUUGAGGUUCAUUACCUCUCACCCUGCUCUUUGCUUCUGUCUUUUCUUGGAAAAGAAAAGAGCUUUUGCCUUUAUAAUUACAGGAGCACCUGGAGCUCCAGGUACUCGUUAGUUUAUGAGUUUAUGACUUAGUUAAUGAGCAGGGUGAAUACAACAGGUCCCAAAAAGCACAUUCCUUCUCCAGUAUUUCUGUGCCUGUGCAGGGUAAGGCUUUGGCUUUGCCAUUCUUUUGGUGUUCCAAAACAAUGAUUCCUUAUUUCUUGGCCAGAAAUCAGCCACAGGUAUCCUUAAAGGCACUUCCACCUUUUUACACAGAACUCUGUGUCUGCUCUGAUGUACAUCUCACAUCCUGGGUUCUUCUUACAGGUGUUUAAAAAGAGGCUGAUUUAGGAAAAGUUCUAAUGAACACCUUAAUAAUGCAGGCUGUAGAUGAAUUAGGGAUUUAAGAGCAGAAAUUGGCCAGAAAGCAUUGCAUUGUCCAGCUGGAAAUGUGGGAUUCAGUGGCCAGGGAUGGCCCCAAGGUGUCCUUUUUCUAGGAGAGAGGGAUUUGUGGGUUCAGCCAGGUCCUUUUUCUAGGAGAGAGGGAUUUGUGGGUUCAGCCAGGUCCUUUUUCUAGGAGAGAGGGAUUUGUGGGUUCAGCCAGGUACAAAGGGGGGCUCUCAGUAGGAGCAGGACUGGGCAUCACUCCCUGAAUUACCUGGGAAGUUUUUAGAGCAAUUCCAGUAAUUCUUGGUGUCUGUUUGAGUGGGAACAGCAGUAGAUGUUUUCAUAUCACAGAUCUUCUGCUAAGUGCUUUUUUUUCCAAAGAAUUCAUAAUUCAAUGAAUUUAUAAACAUCACUCUAAGAUCAAGCUUAA